UACGUAGGGGGCUAGCGUUGUCCGGAAUCAUUGGGCGUAAAGAGCGCGUAGGCGGCCAGAUAAGUCCGGUGUGAAAGUCACAGGCUCAACCUGUGAAUGCCGCUGGAAACUGUCUGGCUAGAGUCCGGAAGGGGCGAGUGGAACUCCUGGUGUAGCGGUGGAAUGCGCAGAUAUCAGGAAGAACACCAACGGCGAAGGCAGCUCGCUGGGACGGAACUGACGCUAAGGCGCGAAAGCGUGGGGAGCGAACAGG
rnacentral:rRNA from 1 species